CAUUUUCAGUAAAGAAGUCCUGAGUAAACACGUUGUCGUUGAAUACCGCUUCUCUGCCGAACCUUAUAUUAGUGCCUCAUGCAGUAAUGUCUCAGUUUUAUCUCAGUCAGGCCUGCGGGCUAAGAAAACACUCUAAGGAAUUUUGCAAAUGGCAAAGAUUAAAGGUCAAGUUAAGUGGUUCAACGAGUCUAAAGGUUUUGGUUUCAUUACUCCUGCUGACGGCAGCAAAGACGUGUUUGUACACUUCUCUGCAAUCCAGGGUAACGGCUUCAAAACUCUGGCUGAAGGCCAGAACGUUGAGUUCGAAAUUCAGGACGGCCAGAAAGGCCCAGCUGCAGUAAACGUUACUGCUA
rnacentral:sRNA from 1 species